AUCCUGGCUCAGAUUGAACGCUGGCGGCAUGCCUUACACAUGCAAGUCAACGGCAGCACGGGAGCAAUCCUGGUGGCGAGUUGCGAACGGGUGAGUAAUAUAUCGGAACGUGCCCGGUCGUGGGGAUAACGUAGCGAAAGCUACGCUAAUACCGCAUACGAUCUACGGAUGAAAGCGGGGGAUCGCAAGACCUCGCGCGAUUGGAGCGGCCGAUAUCAGAUUAGGUAGUUGGUGAGGUAAAGGCUCACCAAGCCGACGAUCUGUAGCUGGUCUGAGAGGAUGAUCAGCCACACUGGGACUGAGACACGGCCCAGACUCCUACGGGAGGCAGCAGUGGGGAAUAUUGGACAAUGGGCGAAAGCCUGAUCCAGCAAUGCCGCGUGAGUGAUGAAGGCCUUAGGGUUGUAAAGCUCUUUUACCCGGGAUGAUAAUGACAGUACCGGGAGAAUAAGCUCCGGCUAACUCCGUG
rnacentral:rRNA from 1 species